GUUUUUUGUUUAAUACAUUUGGCCAAAAUCUCAUAAAAUAAAAGAUUAAGUGCUAUACACAGGAUAUAUAAAACAGUAUAUAGUUACACCUUUAUGUCAAAUACUAAGACUCUUCUCUGCUCUUCAAACACACAGAAAACAUUUGCCUUUGUAGACAUGGUGUUUCUUGAGUAAUGAAAACGCUGUACUUAUUACUCUGAUUUAAAAAACAAAAAAACAAUUAUACAUCCCAUAUAUACACUGUUAGAAAUGUCUGUAAAUUGAACAGUAUUUAACUGUAAAAUUAACUGUAUUUUACUGUAGGACAGUUAUACAGCAUGUUACUGUAUUUUAAAGUUACAUUUUGGGAAAUAUCCCCUUGGCGCCACUAAAAUACAGUAUUUUUGAUUUACUAGUAAAUACUAAAUACAGUAAAAAAAAAAAAAAAAAAAAAAAAAAAGUGCGAAAACCCUGACCCAAUCACAGAAAAAGCUUUACCAAUCACAGAAAAGCUUUUAAUUUCCCGACUUGGAGAAAGAAGAAAACGAAGACACACAGAUGCGAGGAGAACCAGUCAGAUGCAAAGGUGUGUCAAAUAUUCCUCCUUUUACUUUUACAUAUAUUAUAUCUUUGGUUUAACUAAAAAUAAAAAUAAAAAAUAAACGCUGCCACUUAACGGCGCGCAGUCACCGCACAUUUAUGCUGUGAAGAGAACUAGAGAGAGUUGUGGUGACACUGUGCAAACAUUCAUAUUUCUUUACUUUCUUUCCCUUUUCUGAACGUUUCACCGUCAAAAUAUGGACAUUAACGGGUCUCUGCCUUGGGUUUGACCACGUCAGGAGCUGGUUCAUUGUGAGGAUUAACCCUGACAACAGCAAGUGCUCCUCAAAGUUCCAGGUCACCAAAAGAAGUGGGAAGAUGCAUGGUGCAAAGGAAGAACUCUGGCCUGAACCCUCAUGUAUCCUCCUUUAUUAAGGAGUUUCUGGAUUUCAGCUGGCAAAACUAUUAAGCUACUAAGAGCAAAUACGUUCUACACAGGAGUUGAAUUUGUACAUUUUUAAGAUUGUUCUUAUGACUGAAUCUGUUAAUGUCUGUUGUUUUAAAAUGCUCUUAAUAUGAAACUUUUAUGUAUAAAUGAAAUGUUUGCAAGUUUUUGGAAAACUGAAAGUACAAUCUGCAAGAAUAUUAAAAUGUUAUUUCAAGUAUUACAAUUGAACAAUUAAAUCAAUAAAAGAAGUGAAACAGUAUUUUGUUUCUUUUUAUAGUUUUUACUACUGAGACCUGUUGAAAUACAAUAAUUUGUACAGUUUUACAAUAAAUAGUAAAAGUGGACAACAAAUUACAGUCAAUUUCACAGUGUAAAGUAAUAUUUUUAUUGUAUUAAAAUAUAUCAAUGGAGAAAAGAACAUAACAUUGUGUUUUACAGUAAAAAAUAUAUUAUAUUGUAAAUAAAUUUACAGCAAGUUAAGUGGUG
rnacentral:lncRNA from 1 species